UCGACUAAAACCAAAAUCCCCAAAUGUAUUCGACCAAAAACAAAAUCCCUAAACCUAGUUCUUCACAAGUUGUCGCUGGCCAUAAGAUCACUAAAUGAUUUACGAUAUGUUCAAGGGUCGAUUUUUAUGUAAUAAUUAUCUAACAUUGCACUCAUAGGACCUGCAUAAGAGAUUAGUUUGGGAUAGCCUUUCUGUUUAUUUACGUUGUUAUUAAAACGUCAUAGCCAAUGCUGGUAGAGGUUGGGAAAUGAUGUACUGGAAUAUAAACAUAAAUUCUGUGUCGUAAAAGACGGUUAAGAGUGGCUGUAAAAAUCAUAGACAAUGAUGUUUUGAUAAUGGACAAAACUUCUGGUUUCGAUACAGCUGUUGAAGAAGCACAAUGGGCAGUAAAUUCAACAUAUAAUUGAGUCUCGGAUAAUCGGUUAGCUGCGGGCCUAAUCCAACUAUGUGGGGUGCCUCUGCCUAAGCCAUGGAGAAGCGGGAAAAUAGUUGUAAUGUCUGCACAACAUUGUAUAAAAUCCGAAUGAAUAGCAUUAGUGAAAUUUUGAACA